AUUCGGGCAUCCUUCCCUGCCAUCAGUACCUCAGUAACAUGCACCUUGGGAUCUGGACAUAAAAAUAGAAGGAAAUGAGGCGGAGAAAUCCCAGACGUCUAAACAAGAUAAGAUCAAGAAGAGGCAGAAUUAGAAACAGAUGAAAUGUAAGAUCUGUGGAACUUGAAAUCCCACCCUGAGGUGCAGGGUCCCGACUCCACCUUUAUGGAAAAAGAAAAAGAAAAACAGUUAAGAAUAGGUAAACUUGGCAUUUCUGCAGUGAGCUGCUGAUGACUGUCCUGUGUCAACUGUAUUUGGAACUUUCAUGGGCCAAGAAAUGUCUCUUUUUUUUCCAAAUUGAAAGUGCAACAUUUUCACUUUUAUUUCUGACUUCAGUUUCACUUAAUUUCUGCCUGUUGAUGUGUGCAGUUUGGAUUUCAACAUGAGCCUCUCUCUUUACUGUGCUCGUGUGCAGUUUCAUGAACACUGUCAAUGUGCAGAUACAUUGGGAUUCCAGGGGACAGGAAGGGAGACAGCAGUGGAUCUGAGAAUCUUAGCAACAGUGAGAAGCCAGGAACUGCCCUGUCCGCAAGGAAAGGAAAGGAAGGAGGUCCAGGCACUCGCUGCUCCACAGGGAGAACAGAGAGCCUUAAACUGGAGUCAAGUUGAUGAGGAAAAUGGUGGGGGACAGAGAAGGCGGGCUUUUCUCACAUCCGGCAGGCUUUUGUUUACUUAUUUAUCUGUUUGCAAACUUGUGAUGUGUUUAUCAAUGAUGAUAGAGAUAUAGAAAACAGAAGACCUUGGACUUGACACAGGACUGGUCUCAAGUGAUGCUGUGUUUGCGUCCCUCCUUCACAAACCUCUCUGAUGUGCUGGCCAGGGGUAAGCUGGGUAACGCCCCUCCCUCCUCCUGCCCUGAGGUCAGUGCCCUGACUCCUGGAACCUGCCAACAUGUGAACUUUCAGAGCCAAAGUACUUCGCAGUGUGAGCCUGGACUGAGGCUUCUGAGCCGAGGAAGUGAUGCUGAGUGACUGGUGCAGGGGUCUCCCAGGGUCCUUACCUGGGGGAGGCAGGAGCAGGUGCGGAGAAGGCAGUGCAGUGACGGCAGCCUCCAUGGCCUAAUGACAGCAAGGAAACGUGUUCUUGUAGAGCCUCAGGGGCCAGCGCCCCUCAGACUGUGAUUUCAGCCCAGUGAGACUGACCAUCAGACUGUACGAAGAUAAAUUUGUGUUGUUUCACGCCACUAUGUUUGCUGGACAACAUGGAAAUAAUGGAGAGGCUAAAAAAAUCCGUGAAUAUCUGAACACUUAUUCUUACAUUUAUCCUCACGACCAUGUCAGGAGGUGUGUACUAUCAUUUUUAUUGUUCCAUACACGAGAGAAACAAGGCUUAGAGGGAUAACACAGCAGGUAAACGGCGCCAAGAUGCAACGCCUGGCCCAGCCCACAUGUCUGCCUACAAUCUGUUUCCUGACCUCAGGCUAAGGCUUCCUCUCUGCAACCAAGAGCCUUCCACUGAUGAAUGCUGAUGUCAUUCUGCUUUCUUUCUUGGUUAAAUAGUCACAAUGUUAAGCUUUUUAGCAUACGUGAUAUUUUGUGGUUGCUUUGAAUUGUGAUGACUUGAGGUUUAUGAAAUGAGACCUCAAGAAACCGCCCACGUGCAUUUAAGCAGCACACGAAGCUCAAGUCCAGUUUUCCACCUCAACAGCCUGCUCCCGCGACCAUGCAGGACUUUGUCUAGGAUCCCAACCGUCACAAACUCCAUUUCUCCCUGUCAGCCCUCCCUCCUGCUCCCUGCACGGCAGCCUCAGGGACGCCCAAAAUUUGUUUUGUGGGAUGAAGUCCAACAGCUGACACUCUGCCCUCCACGAAUUCACACGUCCCACUGUUUGAGCUGAGUCACUCCUCCACACACAUGCCUGCAUUCGAUAACCUGGGUCCAUUCAAUUCUGUUUCACUUUCACUCUGGACACCGAGGGAAGGGAGCCAGAGUGUGUCCCAUCCAAGUGUUCACAGACACGGCCGAUGCCUUUCCUUUCCCCCUAAGACUUCUGCAUAUUUUACAAUGAUGGCUCCAGCCUUCCAGAACUUUCUAGUCUCCUCAAGUCCUUUCUGAUGACAGGACGCCUCUGUUCUUAGCCCCUCUCAACUUUAGGGUGAUUCUAUCUGCAAUUCUCAGAGUCUGAGAAGGGUACACCACGCACCACCCAGACCCAACCCAAGUAACCCCAUGACAGGGCUGGGUUUCUGCUCCAACUUCUCAGUUCCUUGCUCCUCAGUCUUGUGUCUUCGCCUCUGUUCCAUCAGCACAGGGACUGCUGUUCACCCCCUAACAGUCUCAAGUCACUUCCAUUUAAAACUAAACGGUCUCCCACUCCAUCUCACGCCUCCUCUUUUUGGCCCGAUUCCCUCUUGUCUACACUCUAUGUCUACACCUCCUCACUCCUCCAAGUCCUCGGGCCCCUUUCCUCUGGAGCUACCCUGAACCUGCUCUGAGGUCACCGGGGAUGCCCCAGUGACUGGAAAUCCGGGCAAUACUCUUUCAGUCCAUGAUCCACUCACCACUCUCCAACACUGGGAAGGCUUUAGCCACUGCCUCUUUCCAAGGAGCCUCUGCCCCCUCGGUUCCAGUUAAAUCUGUUCCUCUUCCUGCCUUCUCUCUUGGGACUCAUGGAACUGUUACCCCAAAAGGGAAAGGGAAAAGACCCCAGCUCUUGUCACACCUGAAAGAUAAGAUAACAGACAGGAGACAGCGUUGUGCAGCAAAAGAUUUCACAGGAUUUACUCAGGAAAAGGAAAAGCACUCCUCCGAGAACCGGGGGUGGGCGGGUCCAGGGCAGACAGCAAUGGUCUUUGUCUCCCUUCCUCCGCUACCCUCGCUUACAGGUGGUCUCUUGACUGGCUGACGGCUCUUGCCCCAGAGUGCUCAGUCGUGCCCGGCCCCAGGGAGCAUGUCCUUACGCAUGAUGCACACAGAAAAACCCAAGGAGGGGGGGCUAAACUGCAAUGCUAAUUGUAUUACGGUGAGCACUGGGUCACGUCUGGUUGGGUCCUUCUGGCUACCCCACAGUCUCCACCCUUGGGUUCUAACCAGUUUCUUGCUGGCACUCGUUUAGAGGAAGUAAAGACCCUUUAUGCUGCAGGCGGGGACACUGCCGUCUUCCAGACCCUCCUCCCUCUCCUCCACCUGUCUGCCCGGUACCCCCACUUAUCUAACUGCCUAACAGUCAUCAGGUAACAACUGUUCAAACAGAAGCGUGGGGACCAUGGCUGCACCUUCACUCAAACCCCAGUGAACCUGAGCCCCUGACACUGAUGGAAUCAUCACGCCUCGAGCCAGCAUCACCUUCUCACCUGGAUUUGUGGAGCAGCCUCUCCCUGCCUGACUGCGGUUUGCUCCUCCAACCCACUCCACCUGCUGUGGGGCCACCAGCGAGUGUGCAGAGCAGAGCCCAUCUAGUCCCUGCUGACCGGGCUUCAGUGCUGUUCUGCAACCCAAAGCAUGGAAAGGCGGUUCUUUUCAGAGCUCACUCCUCCACCAAGUGACAGUUCGUGCAUCCCCUGUGAAGACCGUGAGGGCCCCGAGGGCGCAUGGAGCCUGGUAUAAAGUCUUCCUGCUCUGGCCGCUCCUUUAGGACUUCAUCCUCCUGUGAAGGGCCCCGUGUACGUGGAAAGCCUCAGCACACCUGCCACGCUUUUCUCCUUGCUCAUCUGUCUUCUGUGCGUUUACUUCUUAGCCAGAGACCCCAGGAGGGGGAGGAGGGCUUGUCCUCUGCUGCGGCAGCUGUGCAAAGCCAGGCCUCACAAGACGAGACCCUAACAUCGGCGUGAACUUAGUGGUGACUCAGACUCUUAGGGAGCAGGACAAACGCCUCCCCAGGAAGCAAAGUAGAUCCUUGAGGAGGAGGGAGAGAACCAGGAAACGUGAACUCAGAGGUGCCCACCCUUGUGGCCACUAAAGGCAGUUGGGGGUCUGAGUGGCAAGGGUGAGGCGGGAUUUUAGCUUCCCCGAUGCCUGUGGCUAUGGUGACACCUCCAGGCCCAUGUGCUGCUCUGUAACUUAAAUAAGAGCUCUGGGAAGAGCCCAUAGGUCCUCUUAAUUAAACCAAUUCAUCUGGCCACCAGGGGCAUAUGGACCCUCAAAGUCCCACUGAAAUCUUCCUUCGAGAGCGCAGCACGGUUUUCUGAGAAGAGACUUGAACGUCACGGUGGUAACGCCUGGAGCUCCACGGGGACGCAGCAUGUGCUGGGGGCGGGGGAGGUUGUCCUGGGGCUGCGUGCUCGCGGAGGUGUCUGUCACCUUGCUUUAUACGUGGUCUCUGCAAAGGAAAGGCCCCCCCAGAGCUCUUUACCCCAGAGGGUGUGGAUUCUGAUGGGGACGGACCUGACAGCAUUCGGUGCAGGGCCCCACCUCAGGUGGACUGACUAGCAGGUCACAGCAUCAGUCAGGUUAAAUAAAAUCAGUAAAUGCAGAACGUGUUGUCUCCAGAACCAUGCAGAACUAAAAGUUGUCAGACUUACAUCGAUAGUCCGGACGCUGGAGGGACAACAGCCAGGUCUUGACGUUGUCAGCAGUGGAGCAGUCCUCAGUUCACCCAACAAUCCUAGGGGAUUUCACCCGGGUGGGGGUUAGGGGCUUCCUCUGGACCAGGCACGUUGCCAGCAUCCAUGUGUCCAGAAUGAGCACUUGCAUGAACACCUGGAGCUGCUCAGAGGAUGAUAUUACCUGUGCAACAUCACCCCUGGGCUCUGGAGGAAGGUGGGGAUGGGGGGGGUUGAGACCUCCCCUGCAGAGUGUGUGCAGCUGUGAGGCUGCCGACCCCGGGGAGCCCAGCAGAGGCGCGUGGAGUCCCUCCAGAGACAAAGGCAUACCGAGGCCACACAGAACAGAUGUGCCAUUUCUGUAACAGUGACUUCCAAAUGGGCUGCUGGCAGAGCGGUGGGUACCAUGGUGUGGAGGGGCUGGGAUCCACUGUGGGGGCUGUUAACGCUCCUCCAGUUGAGAACACACCAAAGUGGGUUAGUACCUAGGGAAGAAGUGAGGAUAACGAGACCUUCAUUCAUUAGGCCUUAUGGUUAAAUUCCUGAAAAUUAUUUGUCAAAAAUGUAACAAUUUAGGGGGAGGGUAUAGCUCAGUGGUAGUGUGUGCUUAGCAUGAAGGAGGUCCUGUGUUCCAUCCUCAGUACUUCUGUUUAAAAAAAAAGAAAAGAAAAGAGUGUAACAAUUUAAUAUGAUACUGCUUCAUGUUUUGUUACUUUUCCUCUGAUUAGGGU